rnacentral:rRNA from 1 species
UACAGAGGGGGCCAGCGUUAUUCGGAAUUAUUGGGCGUAAAGGGCGCGUAGGCGGCUUUGCGUGUCUUUCGUGAAAUCCCUCGGCUCAACUGAGGACGUGCGGAAGAAACUGCAGGGCUGGAGUCCGGGAGAGGAGGGUGGAAUUCCCAGUGUAGCGGUGAAAUGCGUAGAUAUUGGGAGGAACACCGGUGGCGAAGGCGGCCCUCUGGACCGGUACUGACGCUGAUGCGCGAAAGCUAGGGGAGCGAACAGG